UAGCGAAAUUCCUUGUCGGGUAAGUUCCGACCUGCACGAAUGGCGUAACGACUUCUCCGCUGUCUCGACCACGAGCUCGGUGAAAUUGCAGUACGAGUAAAGAUGCUCGUUUCGCGCAGCAGGACGGAAAGACCCCGGGACCUUUACUAUAGCUUGGUAUUGGUGUUCGGUACGGCUUGUGUAGGAUAGGUGGGAGACUGUGAACCGGUCACGCUAGUGGGCGGGGAGUCGUUGGUGAAAUACCACUCUGGCCGUGCUGACCAUCUAACCUCGGUCCGUGAUCCGGGCCAGGGACAGUGCCUGGUGGGUAGUUUAACUGGGGCGGUUGCCUCCUAAAGGGUAACGGAGGCGCUCAAAGGUUCCCUCAGCCUGGUCGGCAACCAGGUGGCGAGUGUAAGUGCACAAGGGGGCUUGACUGUGAGACUGACGGGUCGAGCAGGUACGAAAGUAGGAACUAGUGAUCCGGCGAUCCCGUGUGGGUGGGUCGUCGCUCAACGGAUAAAAGGUACCCCGGGGAUAACAGGCUGAUCCUGCCCAAGAGUCCAUAUCGACGGCAUGGUUUGGCACCUCGAUGUCGGCUCGUCGCAUCCUGGGGCUGGAGUAGGUCCCAAGGGUUGGGCUGUUCGCCCAUUAAAGCGGUACGCGAGCUGGGUUCAGAACGUCGUGAGACAGUUCGGUCCCUAUCCGCUGCGCGCGUAGGAGAAUUGAGAAGGGCUGUCCCUAGUACGAGAGGACCGGGACGGACGAACCUCUGGUGUGCCAGUUGUUCCGCCAGGAGCAUGGCUGGUUGGCUACGUUCGGGAGGGAUAACCGCUGAAAGCAUCUAAGCGGGAAGCCUGCUUCAAGAUAAGUUCUCCAUCCAGCCUGUGUGCUGGGUGAGGUCCCCCGCAGACGACGGGGUUGAUAGGCCGGACGUGGACGCCUCGUAAGGGGUGGAGCUGACCGGUACUAAUGGACCGACCGCCUACACCAU
rnacentral:rRNA from 1 species